ACACACCACACACAAUGAGUUGUAACUGACAGGGGAAUGCUGAUGGGAUAUGAAGCAUUUCCAGUAGUUGCAUGCUGUUGGAUGAAUAUUGAAAUAAGAUGCUCUUUUCAGUUCUUACUAUUGUAAAUCUG